GAGCCGCUUCCUGCCGCCCCGGCCUGGGGACGCGGAGGAGGGAGCGCAGGGGGAGGGGGCGGGAAGUGGAAACGCGCCGGCAGCCGCUGCUACUCAGGCGGCCGCGGAGGGGCCACGGCCUGGCGGCGGCACCGCCGCUCCGCCCCCCGCUCCGCCGCCCGGCUCCGCCAGGGGGAGCUUCGCCGGCCCCGCUUCCUCUUCCUGUAGCACUGGCGCCGGGAGGGGUGGGCACGGGUGGGGUGUCCCGGUUCCCGUCGUGGUGCCGGCAGCGAGAAAUGCGGGGUGUCUGCGGGACGCGGCGGGGUGGGGACCGAGGGAGGCGUCGCCAUCUUAGCCGUAGGGCAGCGAGAGGCGACCCUUGGCGGGCGGUAGUGCCCUGGGGCUUUACGGAGGCCGGCGGGCGCACAGGUCCCCAUCAUUUCACCUCUAUAAAGUUCUGAAAUGUUGGAUAUACCUGUUCCUGACGUGUACGUAUGUGCGUUUAUUUAGGAAGGAGGUAUGCACAUGGUGGACAUGCAUCCUGGGACUUGUUUUCUCUGAAGACAGAGGCGCAGUGCAGCACCCGUGCUGUAAAGCAGCGCUUACUCACGAAAACUCAUGAGUUGGGAGAAGAGGAGGGAGUUUUCACAGGAUUUGCUGUGGAUACCACAACUUAUCUUUGCUGGAGGAAAAGUGAGCUACAUAGCUACAAGAAGGAAAUGGGAGCGCAUGUAUAGCCUAUAAACUGGGAAUCUUGUUUCCCAGGACACUAGAUCCUGGUAACAAUAUUGCUUUGUUAUAAAAAUGUACUUCAGAGAUUAAAUCGAAGCAAUACAAGACAAUUUUAAGGAUCAUACUGCUGAAAGCAGGGGAAUAUCACACAAAGAAGAGCAACAGAUACUGAAAAUAUUUGCCCUGUGGCUUCCAGCUUUUGUUUCUUAAAUAAUCCUUCUCUGAAGCCUAAGAAAACUAUUAAGCUGGACUCACCCCUUCACAGGCCAGACUCAGCAUGCAUGCACUCUGAAACAUCUGCAGUCUCUGACGUAAAGCAACCAGAAACCCUCGUGUUUUAUGAGCCAUUUUGGGCUUUAGGAAACUUCUACUAAAGCACAGCUUUGGUAUUAUAGAAAAAAAAAUUAAGAGUUGCCAAUUUGAGAUGGCCACCAAAGGGGAUUCUAGGAUCAUAACUUUAAGAGAUCUUUUAGGAGUGCACUUAAGAGGUAAUAGAGCUGAGAAAAUGACCUUUCAAAAGUCUCUUAUUCUCCUGAAAUUUCUUUGUCAGUUGCUUUUGCCAGGUAUGUCUACAUGAUGCUUUUGAGAGAAACAGCUGACCCUUGAAGCUAGGAGUCAGAAUACUUUCCACUUCUAUUGUUAUGUUGUUUUUUCUUUUUUUUUUUUUUUUGGAAGAAUUCAAACAUAUAUUCUAGUCACCAGCUGAAGAAUGGAUGCUGGUUUAUAUAAUAAAUGGUAUAAAUUGCUGGUCUGUUCUAUCUGGACAAAAGAAAUGAAAAAGACCUCAGAUAAAAGCCUUUCUUUAUUAAAGAGCCAAAGACAUUUUAGAUCUCAUUUGGCCUUCAUGCCCUCCUCAUUCCUCCUAUCUUCAUCUAGUAGUGCUUUGCUGAUACAGUUAUUAUCCUUUUCAGCUACUCUAAACAUAUGUUAUUAAUUCUGCAUCUGUCUUUCCACCUCCAGCCAUUUUAAUGGUAAAUUCACUGAAAUCCUGCAAGGCUAUAUGCCCCAGGAACAACCUACAUGUUUCUUAUCUGAGUGUACACAGUCUGAAUGGCCCAUUUGAGCCAUUCCUUUCUGGCUCUCUUUGCUCCCUUGGCUUCUCCCUUUUCCUUGCUGCACCUCACCGUCUGCAUCCCUUCUUGUUUCAGGAAGACCAAUUUGUCCCCAUUUAAUGAAUAUUUUGCAAAAAAAAAUCAAGGAAAUAGGAGCUCAGACUUAGAAUUGAAUCCCACCUGUGAAAAGGUUUCAAGACCUAAAUUGAGAUAUGCCAGGGAAUGUCAAUGUUAUAACCUGUUUUUUUGUAUCAUCUAAAAUGCUUGGUCUAGGCUACUGGAGUGAUAAUACUGACUACUUUUAAAAUCCUUGGAUUCAUCUUUGGAGGCUCACUUAAAUAACCCCACACUUCAAUUACUCCUCUAUUUCUCUCUGCAUUAAUAAUCCCCUCACAUUCUCUUUACUACAGUGUUGUUUCAUCUUGUGUUUAUUUGUCCUAGCUAAUUUAGAUAUUAAGUCCUUAGUGACUGACAAUGUGUCUAUCUAUGCAAACUACACUUAAAUAAAUUUAAUAAUAAUUAAUAAUAAAUACUCCAGCUGAAAGCAAUGCAUUUGAGCUAGCAAGGACAACGCUGACAUUGGUGUACUCCAUUUCAGCAGCAGCAUUUGCUGUUCCCCUGCCGCAUCUCCUUGAGUUAAUGGCUGCCGCACUCCGAGCGGUGUCAGGUCUCCCUUUCAAGUUCUCCCCAUCAGAGGGCUGCUCCACCAGCUCUGCCUUGAUCCUUGCCACCAAGCAGUUUGAACUCCAACCUUCUGGGCUAGCACUCUCCUAAAGGUGGUAAAGAAACAAGAGGAGAGCAUGGAAUCAAGUCUGGGGGACAGGAUCCUGCAGAUCUCCAGCAUCUCCCCAAAAUCCCUAUUCACAGCUAGUUCUAGUCUCUUACAGGCAAUUAAGUUGUUGCAUAUUCACAUAAGUGUGAUGUGGAACACAUUAUUUAUUUUUAAUAAUAAUUAUAAUAAUAAUUUUUUCUUUUUGCUUCAGUUCCCUAUAUUUAAAAGACUUGCAAAGAAAGUAAGAGCUUUUGUGAAACAGGCUAUGUAAACACUCAGACUCAUUGAAGCUGGCAGGAAAGAAUUCAUGUGGUGUGCACUAACAAUUGUCUAAGCUAGAACACUAUUUAAUCUGUUAUUCCUGGUGGGCUAUACCUUGUAGAAAAAUAAUAUUAUUACAGAUAUAAUCUUUCAGUUAGUAAUAAAAACUCAGGAGUGGUCUGGCAUAGGAAGUGGAGAACUGAGUCCUUCCUGAGCAGAGGUAAACUGGGCAAAAGCUGUCCUUCAUCUGUCUGCCUGAAGAAUUAUGACUUCUGAUAGAAGCAAGUUAGUCACACUAUAUAUUGCCUUUUUAUUUCACUAUGGGAAGAAGGGAUUACUUUGCAUGCGCUUUCUCUAGUCCAUCCAGUAGCUGGAACUGCAAUAAAUGUCAGGAAAAGAGUUGCUGAAUAAUAAGUAGCAAAAGCAGAAGAAUUAAUGUAAUUCCUAUGAUCCAUCUGAACAAAAAAAUUGUGAUCAGAGGUGGAAACAUCUAUAAUAUGUCCACAGUACGAGUGGUUUUGCUCCUUAUACUCCCAUCAAAACCAGAAUAUUUGGGUGUGAUAUAUUUACUGCUAGGAGUAGCAUUUGUCCCUAGGGGUUCAUUCUCCCUUUUCACCCCUGGGGAAGAGAGGAGAGUGGUCGUGUGCUUUGGUGUUUGUAGAAUGCUUUUCACUUUUACAUAAUGCAUAAAUUCACCUUUGAGGGGAAGACGGGAUGACCUGUGGGAUUGGAUUCUACAGGCUGGAUCUGAAGGCAGUUCUUUUCUCAGGCUGCUCACUUUUCUUCUUACUGUGUAAGGCUUCAUUGCAACAGAGAUUUCUGGGGUUCUUUGAAUAUAAACACUGCAAUCUUGAGCUGACUCAAUACUUUGUGGAAUCAUUGGGGAAAGUAAUAUGAUUUGUUUUCUGUAAUCAGCUAGUAGGUGUCUCUGAAGGUCUGAUUGCUUCAUGUUCAAAUAAAAUGCACUCUUACAGUCCAGAUGGGAGCUAAUGAAAGCAUAUAUAACUAAGAUGGACUUGCUUUGGAUAGUGUCUUUUAACCAAUCAGAGAUAAAAGAAAGCAUUAUUGAUGGUUACAGCUCCUUGGGAGCUCAGUAAGUAUGAGAAAUCCAAACCUAAAUUAAACACUGUAUGCAGGCAGUGUCAAAGAAAGGCUAUUACACAGUGACUAUAAACUUUCUAAAGCGUGCUCCACAGCCUCCAACAUAACCUCUGUGUUUCUCAAGUUCUAGACUGUCCAGUGAUUUUUCAAAUAUGAUCCACUUUUGGCUCAUUUAGUGAUGUGAGUGUAUUUGCACUCUCUUCUCCCUAGCUUUUCUCUUAACAGUAGCAAAGAAGUAGCCACUUACAGGAUCUUUUAUACUUUACGGUGAUGUGUGGCUUAUUACCAGUUUGGGGAUUCAGUCAGUGGUCUUAGUUAUUGCUCAUGUGCAGCUGUUAUUUGAGCAAAGUUGGGGGAUAAUGAAGGCUCUGCAGCACUGAAUGUCAUCACUAGAUUGUUGUCAUCUGUCCCUAUCAUCUCAGCUCCUCAUUUCAUGGCUGCAUGCAGAUGCUGACGAGGCUGUAAGAGAAAACCGUUUCUUGCAGGACUAUAUUUUUAAGAAGUCAGCUGAUAGAUAAGUGAUUUCUUGUUACUACUUGUUAGGUGCUUCUAACCAUGAAAGAAGCAACUAUUUUAGCCCGUUCUUCAUGAUGACUUUCUCUUUCAAGCAGGACGGCAAUACUUGUCAGAUCCAUUCACAGGCUACAUUUGCAGCUUAUCUCUGAGUGUAACAGAGAUCAUAUGCUCACUAUAUUGAAGAUCCUAUAAGCCUUCUGUGAAGCACACAAAUAUUACAUAGUGAUCUUUUAAUUUUUGUUUCUUUUGAAAGCUGUAUAUCAAGUCAGUGUGACUGAGACUCAUCUGCUCAAACAGGUUUGUAGCUGAUCUAAUCACCUUCCCCGAUAAAUUAGGGAAGAAAACUAAGAGUGCAGUAUGUCUUAUACCAAAGCAGAUACCUCAAACAUACAAGAGGUACUGAGACCUGAAUGUCUCAAAAUUAGUGACUUGUUCAGGCCAAAGAACAGGCUGUUCAGGCUUAGGGGACAACGGACGACUAUUUACAGAUUUAUUCAUUAUUAUAAAGAGGAGUAUCAGUAAAUCAGUAUUUUUGUAUUCCCCUGUUUUGAAGUACUUUACAGGAAUUUUUUUUUGUCAUCAUUUGACUUUUUUUUUCCCCUUUUUCCUUUUUGGGAGAGGAGAGACAGGAUUCCCUCAUUUCCAAUUCAAUUGUGACUUCCAUCCAUAUUUUUUAAGUGGCAGUUCUACCCAGGGAUCCCUUAGAAUGGAUGAACUGAAGGGGAGAAAUAAGUUACUCAAACAAAUGCGGUGGGUUUAAUGCAGGGCUAACUGGAUGUUAUUUUAUGAGCAAUACAGAAGGUCAGAGCAGAUGAUUCAGUAGUCCCUUCUAGCCUGAAAAUCUAUUCAAAACCUGAACAAGUUCAUUAAAAACAUAAUAACAUUUCACAGAAAUUACUCUUAAACCCCUAAGAAUUAAACAAUACUCAUUAAUAGCCUUUUUAUGAUGUUUUCACUGUGUACUUCUAGAGCAACAAAUCCCACUAAGAGGGAUAUAUUUCUCUUUAAAUUGAUGAUGUGAUGGGAAAAAAGUCCUCCCUUGAACAAUCAGCCUCAGUAUAACAAGAGAGCUUAUUUUCCAGUGUGGAUGCCUCAUAUGCAUUUGUAAGUAGCAAGAGCAGUAAUUUAGAAAUGAGAGGGGGAUCUCAUUGGAACAUGAAUUUUCAAAGCACCACUGUAUGUAUCAUUUAGACAACCCUUGGCUCUGACCGCUGUGUGCAAAUGCAUAAGCCAAUGUGUGCAGGCAGUGUGAGUCAUUCAAUUUUCCUACUGUAUAAUAAUAAAAAACAAAUGGUGUUGAAGCUAGCAUUUAGGCCUAGAGAAGGAAGCUGUGAUAAUGCCAUGAAUCCUUGCACUCAGGGACUAGCAGUGAUGACAUGCAAAGCUGACACACUGACAGGCAGUCUCUUACUUAAGGGAUAUUGAUAUAAGUCUCAGGCAUACUUAGGUCUCUCUGAAAGUAAUGUCUCCUGUUUAUUUCCAUGGAAAUGACAACAGAUACAAAGAGCACAAUAACACUGUUUGAUACAGCAAAUUCUCAGCUACAAAACAUUAUUUUUCAACAUUUCACCACCUAUGCUACACUCAUCGAAAUCUUCACCAGCAGAGACAACCCACUGUUGCUUUCACCUCUACUGAAACGCACCACCCACUGCCUCACUGUGUUUACAUCUGCAGUUUGGUCUCAAUAAAUGUUCAGCAAGCAUUGAUGAAUGUCAGUGGGUGCCAUUUUUUUUAAAUGGAGGAAGUCAUGACACGCCUUUGUUUCAUACACACUUCUGUGUCAGAUGCCAUUGUGUCAGACUGCCCCUCUGCUGCGAUCUGUCACACAGCAGCAAAAUGUAACGGGAUAUUGAUGGGAAAAUUCAACCUCUACAGCCAUACCACCGACAUCCAUCUCUGACAUUAUAUGCCAACAUAAUAAAAUAAGGAGGCAUUACUUUCAGGGCAUCCCACAUAUUUUUUCAGUCUUAUUUGUAUCUCUUAGCUCCUGCACGCCAACUAAUAACUUUACAAAAAAUGGAUGGUGCUUUAGAACAUACUAACUUAAACAUACAGGAAUUAAACAGAUUUGAAAACAAAUUAAUUCAUCCCGGUUAAUAUCACAGGUUUCUGGCCUUUCUUCCUUCCUCUUAUUCCCCUCAGAUAUAUCUGUUUCACAUUUUGAUGUAAUAUUUUGUACCGUAGAGACAGUAGUUUCAAUUAAUGCUCGUGAAAAAGAGUAGAAACUCAGAAGUGCUGAAAUAUCAUGUGCCUUCCGGCGUUCCCCAUAGCCAAAUGUGCCUAAAGAACUUCCCUUCAUAGAAUACAGCUUCUGCAUCAUCCCUAGUAAGAGUCAUGAUUAAAUGUCCCUUAAUGUAGUUAAGUAACUACUUUACAUACACAAACAUGUUUGAUGUGGAAAAAAAUGCUUUGGAUUGCUUUUAUUAGCAUUACUGCAUGAGGACUGGACAAAGAAUUGUUUUUACAAAUUUUAUUUAUGGUGAGAUGGAGAAAAUAAAGAGUGGAAAGAGAAAAUUAUUUCAAUAAUUUUUAAUAAAAAGGCAAUCAAAUUCAGAUUUACAUUCUCAUUGGAGAUAGUGUGAUGUUCCAAAUUAAGAGAAUUGAGAAUGAUGACUGUCAGAAAUGGAGUAUUAAAUAGACAGGGAAAGAACCAAAUCUCUAAUUCCAUUACAGUAUUCAGGGAAAAUAGCAAAUUCAGUGGCAUAGAAAACAUGGACAUAGAAUCAUAGAAUUGCUCAGGUUGGAAAAGACCUGAAAGGUCAUCAAGUCCAACCACAACCUAACUGUACUAUCCUAACUCUAACUACCCACCACUAAAUCACGUCCCUGAGCACCACAUCCAAAUGGUUUUUGAACACAUUCAGGGAUGGUGACUCAGCCACCUCACUGGGG